rnacentral:rRNA from 1 species
CUUAAAUUGAAGAGUUUGAUCAUGGCUCAGAUUGAACGCUGGCGGCAGGCCUAACACAUGCAAGUCGAGCGGAAACGAGUUAUCUGAACCUUCGGGGGACGAUAACGGCG